AUCUUCUUCAUCUUCUUCUUCUAUCAACUCAGAAGAGUGAGGGUAUUAUAGAACAUUGAAAAGAGGGAAAUGAAUCAAAUUUUGGCUAAAUACCCCUGAAGCAGAAAAGGGCGGAGGAAAGAGGCUUACUUUACACAAAAACCAGACCCGGUCAGACUUGGAUUGACCAGAAGAGACUGCUGCUGUUGUAAUUGCAUCUGGAGAUGAACUGGCCUUGACUGCUUCUUUGCUGCCUUCGUCCAAGCGGACAACUUGCGCAAAACUCUUGGACAUGUUCUUCAUGAAGUCUGUGGGUAAUGCAGCAGAAGCAGGUUUAUGUUCAUUUUCUCCUGCUACUACUCCUGCAGAUGGCAAGCUUGGCUGUCUUCUUGCCUUCCGGUCUUGUAUAAUUUUCUCCCGCUCUUCAUAAAACCCGAAAUCAUCCAAGAUUGACGUGUCAGCGUCGUAGUUCUUGAAGAUCUUCAGCAUCUCGAUGCCCUGUUCCAGUUUUACCUGUAGUUUUUGGUUGUGGUUAUGGUGUGGCUUAAAAGAGGUAUCUUAUGGACAAGAAAGCUUGAUAGGCACAAAUUGCUACUUACUUCUUGGGUGUCUCGACUAUUAGUCACAGGCUUAUUGUCAUUGUUUUCCAAUAUAAUGUGGCGGAACUGGCUGUUUGGAACAUCUUUGAUAAUGUGCCACUUCACUGGG